UGUGUUAUUCCACGUUAACUGCCAGUCUGUGUGUUAUUAGAUGAUAAUGCUGAGUCUCUCUGGGCGGUCUUCUUGUUUCCUGUUUAAAUUUACUUUCACUUCCCAGAAGCUGUGACGCAGUUAUUUUUCUCCGUGUGGAGCUCCAGCUGGAGGACCCAUCAGAGACCAGACCCUACUGGACCUGGACCUGGACCCGGCUGUGUGUCCAUGCGGCCCCCGUUCCUUUAA